CGAAGUGCCCGGGGCUGAGUGCUAGAGGAGGCCCAGGCUGUGGCCACUACCAUCUUUGUGUGCUCCCACCCACAUAUCAAUUGCUCUGUGAGGACAGAAAAAACAUAAGCUCUGAGAUAGUUUUCAGGUUUGUAGGCCUGGCCAAAUGCAGAUGAGACUCCUUGAAGCAAACUUAUCAUUAUUAUUAUUAUUAUUUUGGUCUUUUUAGGGCCUCACCUGUGGCAGGGGUCGAACUGGAGCUGUAGCCACCAGCCUAUACCACAACCAUAGCAAUGCGGGAUUUGAGCCAUGUCUGCAACCUACACCACAGCUCAUGUCAACACCAGGUCCUUAACCCACCAAGCUAGGCUAGGGAUCAAACCUCAUCCUCAUGGAUGCCAGUCAGAUUUGUUUCUGCUGAACCAUGAUGGGAACUCCUGAAGCAAACUUUAUAUUUGACACAAACUUUAUAUUUGUCCCUCUUUCAUGGGACAAAACCAAGAGCAUCAUAUUUGACACUGGAGAUGUCACUAAAAUGAGUCUGCUUUUUGGAGCCUACCUUGGGGUUGGGCUAAAGUAAGGCUCUCGGUUGGUAAUAGAACAGCACUUGCAAAGGCACCCAGGUUCUACACGUGGCCCAUCUCUGGGGAAAAAUUUAGUAGGCUCUGGAAAGAACCCUCUGACCAUAAAUCCCUUGCCAAUAUACCCUCUCCAGGGCCUAUAGCAUCUCCUGGGACUUACCAUCCUAUUGACUAGGAUGAAUCCUUCUGUCUUAUUUGGAUUCUCUCUGAAGCAAACCCCAAGGCAAGGAUUCUAGAACAAGUAGUUUGUAGGAAGUUGAUUCUGGUAAAUUCUAGUACAGGAGUGGGGGAGUAAGAUGGAAAAGGGAAGAGAAAGCAGUCAAUACUGCUUAUUAUUAUUAUCUACAUUAUUUAUUAUUAGUUAUAUUAUUUAUGCUUAUGUUUACAUUUAUAGCUAUUAUAUAGAUAUAUUAUGCAGAUAUUUAUACAACAUAUAUCUAUAAAUAUCAAAAACAGUGGUUCAAUCCCACCCUAUCCCACCUGAAAUGUCACUUUGCCAAUUCGACCCCUAGCCUGGGACCCUCCAUAUGCCAUGGGUGCAGGCCCAAAAAGACCAAAAUAAAUAAACAAAUACUAAGAGGAAGGAGUCCUGGGUUUUAGUCCCUGUACUACCACUGACUUAUCUGAUUCUCUUUCUGGGCUUCAGUUUCCUCAUCUGUGAACUAAACCCAUUUCAAUAUGGGUCUUUCAAUAUUCUGUACACAUACUGUAUUGGCCAAGGGAUCAGUAGUAGAAAGUAGAAACUGGAGUUCCCAUCGUGGCUCAGUGGAAAUGAAUCUGGCUAGCACCCGUGACUUUAACCCACUUGAUCCCUGGCCUCGCUCAGUGGGUUAAGGAUCUGGCAUUGCUAUGAGCUGUGGUGUAGGUCGCAGAUGCAGCUCAGAUCCUGCGGCUACAGCUCUGAUUCGACCCUUAGCCUGGGAACCUCUAUAUGCCGUGGAUGCGGCCCUAAAAAGGCAAAAAAGAAAAGAAAAAAAAAAAACCUUGAGAAGUUCUCUUGUGGCACAUCAGAUUAAAGAUCUGGUGUUGUCACUGCAGCAGCCUGAGUCACAACUAUGGCGUGGGUUCAGUCCCUGGCCUGGGAAUUUCCAUAUGCCAUGGGCAUGGCCAAACAAAACAAAACAAAACAAACAAACAAAAACUUUGAGAGGGCUAAAAGAAUGAUGACACAUAAUACAGCACAUCAGAACUAGCUCAGCCGGGGUGCUGCUUCCUAUGCCAGCCACAAAACCACAUCACCUCACUGGUGCCAGAGGUCAUAAGUCCCCUGUGAAACCACUUGUUCUAGAGUAAGAUCAUAGUCUCUAGACCGCACCAACAAAACACGGAUGCUCCGAGCCCUGUUUCUCAACACCCAUGAAACUAGUGAGCAGCCACUAUGCACUGCAGGAAAACCUAGUAUCUCAAAGGCCAAAGCCUGUUCACCAGCAGAACCAGUGGAAGGAGCAGAAAGUUGGUUUGUGUCAACUCUGUUCCCCUAACUUCAGGGGAGUCUGACGAAUGUGGAUUUUGCUCUUCUAGCCCCUCCAUAUAAAAAUGACACUUCCAUGGAAGUUGGCAUGGGUGCUGAGUCCAGUGUGUAGUGUCCAUCCCAGGUGCUGUGUUCCAGGCACUAGGCAGGAUGCCAGAGAUUCAGAGAGGUCCUGGACACAAGCCUGCCCCUAAGGAACUUCAUCUAAUUAUGUGGCCUAGACAGCAAUACACAGGUGCUGUUACCAGUGAAAAGGCUGAAUGAUAGAGGGGAAGAUAGGGAAGGGCCCAAAGCAGGGAUACAGGCAGUUGCCCAAAGGAUGACAAGAAGUUUAGAGAGAAGAAGGUAGUUUGGAUCACUCUUGAAAAGUCAGUUAGGGGAGUUCCUGUCGUGGCUCAGUGGAAACGAAUCUGACUAGCAUCCAGGAGGACGCAGGUUCGAUCCCUGACCUUGUUCAUUGGGUUAAGGUUCCAGCAUUGCUGUGAGCUGUGGUGUAGGUCACAGACAUGGCUCGGAUCCUGCGUUGCUAUGGCUGUGGCGUAGGCCAGUGGCUAUCGAUCCAAUUGGACACCUUGCCUGGGAACCUCCAUAUGCCGCAGGUACGUCCCUAAAAAGACAGAAAAAAAAAAAAAGAAAAGAAAAAAAGAAAAGUCAGUUAGGAAGAGAGGCAAACUUAGGAGAAGUAAUAGCUGGAACAGGGCCCAGAUGGAUGAGGAGUAAUUUGAGAAACAGAGCUGUGUGAUAUGCAGGGCCAGGCAGAGGGGACACAGUGGGGGAACUGACAGAGGUGGGAGGUAGAAGCAUGUUGCAAGCUAUAUGGAAAUCCUCAGAAGGGCUAGGGUACACUGGUGAAAGAUUUUAAGCAGGAAAGAAAUACAGAUGUGGUCAAACUGGUGUCAGGAGCCUGGCAAAGGAAACUAGAAUUCCAGAAAACCAAAAGACUCAGAGAUUCCAGAGAGAGAGAGAGAGAGAGAGAGAGAGACUAAGAUAAAAGGGACAAGAAUGAGGAGAGAAUGAGGAAUAGGAAGGACCAUGGGGAACUGAGGCCAUGCAGGAUACAUCCAGCAAAAAGAUGACAUCCUGCAAGUACAGCUGCUCUUAAUGACUCAUGUAGUUAGGUUAGGGUGAGAGGCCGCAGGUCAAGAGCAGUGCCCAGCACAGUUUAAUUGAGCAAGAAUACUCCCAGUGACAUUUCCCUUUUUGUUCCAUAAGAACCCUGACCUCAACCAAAAUGGACAGAAAGUUUUAGAAAUGAUGAGCAAAUAGGUGAAGAGAGAGAAGGGAAGGGGAACAAGGAGAAGGAAAGAGAAGGCAAAAAUACAUGACGAGGUGUGUCCCUAAACCAUGUCGACUUGCACUAGGACACAGGCUCAGCCCAUAGCCCAGUCUUCUUUGAGAGCUGACCUUGGCCCCACCAAUCAUGAGUGGUUUUCUGUGAUCCCCUUUGACUGGCAGAGACCCCUGUCAGUCACUUUCACCUCCAAUCUGUAGGAAGUUUGUUCUCAUCCAUGAAGAAAGAGAACCAUGCCUUUCUAGUUCUCUAGCCCUCUACCCCCACUCCCAUUGCCCAGUAGCCUUUGUCCUUAAGUAAACACUUUUCCAAGCCUAAAGGAUAAAGGGGGGGUUCUCUGGAAGCAGCAUCUGAGAUGAAGAUUUCAGUACCUAUAAUCCACUGGAGGAGGGAAUCUCAGGAAAACGGGAGUGAGAGAAGCUAACAGAGCAGAAGACAGAGCUGAGAAAAGAUGUGGUCUCCUCUGAAAUUUAGGGGAGCUCUGGGCAUAAACAGUACCAUGGAGUGGACCCCCUUGAGAUAAGAGGGCAAUCUUUGGUACCCCCAUGUCAGUCACUGACUGAAGGUUCUUCUUCAUCAGCAGGGGGCAUAUAGUGACUCCCAAAAUAGUGACUCCAACUCAGCUGAUGGCAAUUCUUGGGAGAAUGAGGCCCCUGUGAGCCUUUAGCAGCCACACAACAGCUCCACAGCAGCUGGAAAAUGGUACUCCUUCCUGAUAAAGGGGAUCUGAGCAGAUCACUAACAGCAUCCAGUGCAGGGGAAAUGCUCAUUUGGUCAAGUUUGCUGUACUGGAUACUUUUCUCCUCAUCAUUUCUCUGUCUUCUAGGAGACUCUCUGCAAAAGCCAAAGAAGCCCUGACCUUAAAGAGAACAAGAGAAAAGCAGGACUGGUCCCACUGGCCUCUUUCACAUAGCCAUGAGUAUGACUCGAAUCCAAGCAGGUCUUCCGGGUCAGAGCUUCUCCAGGCCUCCAUCCUGAGUGAGCCCAGGUCCCAGGAAUCUGUACCCACCCCCCAUAGCAGGUUCUCCACAGCAGAGCUCAAUGAAUUUUCUCUGUGUCCCCACUGGUACUCAGCUUGAUUGCACCAAGGACUGGAAGGGAUGUUCCUCCUAAGUUGAGACGAUUGUUUCAUUCUUCUAGUUAAGCUUCAUGGUAAUUAUAUGAGCUGCUUCUCCAACUCAGGCAAUUACAAAGAGCACCUCCUUUCCUAUUGUCUUAAUCAUUCAAGGCCUAUUAGUAGAGGCCCACCCUUCCUCUCUCUCUCUCUCAGGUUCUUGCUUGCAAUUUUUCUAAGAACAUUGGAGCCUGAAACAAAUUGAAAAGGGUUAUCCUUGCUUCUAAAUUACCAAUAGAAAAGAAAAUUGGAGCCCCACCAAUUUCUUGGGCUAUAACUUUUCAUUUCUUUGUCAGUGUCCAAUACUGGACCUAUGCAUCUUUGUCCACAGCUAAUGUAUUUCCCUGGCCCAGAUGCACUGAUGGCCCCACGCUGGGAUAUGAGGCUGUAGCUCUCUUGGUUUAUAGCCCAUGUUCACUCAUCAUGUCCUAGUGCUGACCACUAUGAUGGGGGGCUUCCAGCCCUGCAUCCACUGGGCCAGAUCAAGUUUUCCCUCACAGACCCCUUGGUCCUCACGCUGAGUCUCAUCUUCGGCCUAGUUAGUUCUAAUUCAAGGCUAGCUACAUAAUAAAUUUGCCUGGCCUGGUACAAAAUGAAAAGGUGGGACCCCUUGUUUAAAAAUAUUAUUAAUUUCAAGAUGGCAACAGCAGAACAUGGAGCCCCUCUGAACUUGGGGCACAGGUUACACAUCCAUGAAGCAGGCUCUGCACAUCACUUCUGGGUGGGACCAUUUAAUUAACUAUGUGACACACUCCAAAGAUCAUUCUUUUCUUCAAACCAAAAGACCAGCAACAUCUGAGAUUGUGGCUGCUCCAUCAACCUAGAUCCCUGAGAGCUGCAAUGAACAGAGUGCCCCACCCUCACCACUACCCAUGCGGACAAAUAAGCUUUUGUUGUUAGGUUUGUUGCAACAAAAAUUACCCCAUUCUGAUUCGGACUCACUCUAACCCAAGACACUAGGUCACUAUUUGUUGCAUAUUUACCACAACAACAUAGCACUUAUUUAUCCUUUCUAGGACCUAAUAACUGUCUGUCUUAUCCUUCAAUUUAAUGAACAGCUAGCUCCUUCUCUGGAUAAAAAUCUGUACUUGGUAUUGAACCAUUUGCUUAUGGUAUUGAACCAUAACUUUAGUGCUUAGUACAAGGUAAGCCCUCAAAAAUUAAUUCUAGACAUUCUAAAUAUUUUAAAGUUUUCCAUUAAAAAUCCUUGGACUCUGGUUGUACUCUACACUAGAAAUCCCAACACAAAGGGUCCUAACAAAAGGGAAGUGUAUUAACUCAUAUAACCAGAAGUAUAGCAGUAGGGUAAGCUCUGGCUCCGUUUCACCGAGAUUCCCUUGACUCUGUUCUCCUCUGUGAGGGUUUUGUUCCGAGGCUGGCUUCUCAAGGUGGCAAAAUGGUGCCCAACAGCAGGUGGGGGUAAUGCUUCUUUGUUUAGAGUUUGGAUAACACAAAGAACCUUUCAUUUGACCAUAAA
rnacentral:lncRNA from 1 species